UGGGGAAUAUUGCACAAUGGGGGAAACCCUGAUGCAGCGACGCCGCGUGAGCGAAGAAGUAUUUCGGUAUGUAAAGCUCUAUCAGCAGGGAAGAAAAUGACGGUACCUGACUAAGAAGCACCGGCUAAAUACGUGCCAGCAGCCGCGGUAAUACGUAUGGUGCAAGCGUUAUCCGGAUUUACUGGGUGUAAAGGGAGCGUAGACGGUUUUGUAAGUCUGAUGUGAAAACCCGGGGCUCAACCCCGGGACUGCAUUGGAAACUAUAGGACUAGAGUGUCGGAGAGGUAAGCGGAAUUCCUAGUGUAGCGGUGAAAUGCGUAGAUAUUAGGAGGAACACCAGUGGCGAAGGCGGCUUACUGGACGAUUACUGACGUUGAGGCUCGAAAGCGUGGGGAGCAAACAGGAUUAGAUACCCUGGUAGU
rnacentral:rRNA from 1 species